AGAGGCCACGCGCAGGGUUUUGGAUGGAUAUGGCCGUCGUGGUGGUGCCAAGAGGCCGCUUGUGCCACCCAGCGCCCUCAGGAGCAGCGCAGCCCGGCGGUGGUGAGGGGUUGGUGCCCCCUCAGAGCCAGGGGAAAGGUUUCAGGUGUAGUGAUCCAAGUGUAACCCACGUAGGUGGUUUGGGAAAAAGCUCUUGGAAGGCCACACCUAAAAGAAUAAUAAAUAAUAGGAAAUGGCCCUUUGCGAGAUAUAAAAUACUAUAUUUCACGUACUUGUGUAACUUUUUUUUUAGUAAUCUUUCCUUAAAGUCAUUUUUAAAAUGUUAAAGUUUCUCCUUUUAAAGAUGCUGUAGGUCCUCAGUGAACAUAUUGAGUAAUCUUACUAGUAAUCUUUUCAUGUGCACAGUUAUAUUUGAGGUCUUUUUCAGCCUAAAUUAUUCUAUUUUUGUACUAAUUUAGAAAAAAAUGGGCUAGAGAGUGACUAAAUAAUCGUCUUUCCUUAGGGUUCCUUAGAUCUUUUUCAGCCUUAAAAAUUCCAUAAUCCUUUGAUCUGUUUUUAAUUUAUUUUUUUAACUUGACCAGGUUCAUUACUCUCACCUUGAAGGAAAGUGUCCACAUCACAGCAGUGAGUCACACAAGACAGAGGCCACCAAGGCUGUUUGAUUUUAUCUAAGAGUUGGCACAGGAUGAGUUUGAAACAGCAAAAUCCUGGAGUCAUCCUUGCCCAUGGAAGGGCCUCCUUCCUCCAAGGACAUGGUGACACAAAGCAAAGGAACAAAAAGAGAGGCAAUCCUGCAGGAAGGACAGCUGGAACACGUGGCUGAGAUACAACCUCCCUCUGGAUGAAGCAUGAAUUGCUUGGCAAAGCUGAUGGUGCACAGGGGACCAGACUCCAAGAUGAAAACCAAACCUUGCUGAAAUCUGAAAGCACAGAUUGCAUCCUGGAUGAAUGUGGGCAGGAGUUGGAUGAAUAAAGAGGUAUUAAUUCUUACUGCAUCUACCAUUGAAAUGGAAUAGAAGUGGGCAACUGUUCAAAAGCAAAGUAGGAUGGAAUUAAUCUGUUUUUCUCAUGACCUUUUUUUUUUUUUUUUUUUUUUAGGACUUCACUUACAGCAACAGUUCACCUAAACCCAUUUCCAAUACUUGCUGUAAUAGGGAAAAACCCCACCUUUGUCAUGCAGAGAAAGGCAAGACAAAACCCACAUUUAAGAAAAACAUCUGAAAACACCCCCCAACAAAAAACCCACCCUGAUACUUGACUUCUGGAAUGGGUUCUUAAGAGCAAAUCCAAGUGUGUAGGGAACCCAGAGAUCCUCUGAAUGAAAACCAGGAGCAGUUUUUCAUCUGGGCACAGCGUCCUUGUGCAAGAAUGACAGAGUUCAUCAAAGGUUACUAAUGGGCAUGUAAAUUAUGAGGUCGUCUGGCUGUCUGGACAGACUUGGGUGGGUGACCUGGGAUAGACUCAUGGGAUCCUUAAGAUUGGAAAAGACUUCCAAGAUCAAGCCAACCUUCGACUGAAUACUCCCAUGCCCAGUAAACUGUGUCACAAAGUGCUACAUCUACUCAUUUUUUGACCACUUCAAGGGACUGUGACCACCACUUCCCUGGGGAGGCUGUGUUAAAGACUUUCAAGGAUGGAGGAGUAUGAAGAGCUCACGGUGUGCCUUGGCUUGGGAGCACUUAGGGAAGCACGGAGUCAUGCUCUGCCAAAUGAGUUCGUCAGCCCUGAGCUCACGAUGUUCCUCAGCAUUUGAGCCAUAGCUGCUGGGUAAAGUGGCACAGAGAGAACCCUUCCAGCCCUGGAAAACUCGGCAUUGAGGCAUGGAGAACUCAGCUUUAGCUGGGGAGGAUCACAGACUGAGCAGCACAGCCAGGUAAUGCAGGACAGGUCACCUUGCACCAACCUGAGCUGCCUCAGGGCACUGCAGGCAGCAGCACAGAACAAGGGGUUAGGCCAGGCUGGACUUGAACUAGACAGGACCUGGUCAGGGAGGAGGAAGAACGAGGCUCAGGGAAGGGAAAGAAUGAUUCUGUGGGGGAACUUCUGCAAAUAUGUGCUUCCCUUUGCUGAUAAAGGAGGGCGUGAGGCACGGAGAUCAGCUACCUUGUUUGUCUGCUCUCACACCCUGCCAGGCCCUGGCAGCAGCACUCCCUUAUCUCCAGCACAUGGGCACAUUCAGCUGUGCAGCCAUUCCCUAAUCCACCACUCUGGGCCUGGGCUGCUCCUCGUGUUCAUUCUCCUUCUCCCUGUUCUGACACGAGGAUUAAUUUUUAAAUAAGCUUGGAUAAAAUGUCAGCUUUAGCUGGAUCAUUCUCACGCAUUGCUUAAGGCUUUAGCAGUGUAACGGGGGCAAUAUUGUCUCUGUCAAGGUACACAGGGAACAAAACGCCUCCCGUGUGAUAACGAGGGUGCUGCAGCAGCAUUUCUGUCCUUGGUUUGUGGCACAGAGCUCUUCCUUUCACUGCAGGCAGCUGGGGAGCGCAGGUUUCACACCUCCCUCUGCUGUAUUUACACCUCUAUUGUUUGUUAUUUACUUGUGUCUCGGGUUAUGUAGGCGGCAGCAGCCUCUUGUGCGUGUACCCGGAGGAAUUAAAUGAAUUUGCAGAGCAACCUGCUGGGAACUUCCAAGGGGACAAAGCCAUUUUUUGUACACCCACGAGCAGCACGGAAAAACCGAGCUGCAGAAAAUGAGGAAUUGGGUCUUUUUGAAUAUUGUGGGUCUCUACAGCACCGAUGCCUUUUAAGUUGUUGCUGUGGAAGUUGUCCAGCUGAGAGCUUCGUGUCACUCUCAGCUACAAUUAAAGUGUUUUUUAUGGGGGUUGAAUGACGACCGCACAACACACCCUUCUCGUGAGGCUUUUUGUUUGGCAUUUCACCUUCCUUAACCAAAAUGGAUUAACUAUGGAUUCGCAGAGAAGCCUCUCACGGGGGGCGGUGAGCUGGCUCCGUCCCCGGCCGCACCGAGCCGGGGAGAACAGGGCGAGUCAUCCUUGAGAAAAAAAAAAAAAAAAACACAUUUUUGCGCGGCGUGACUCACAUAACCGUCCUCAGCAGGCACGAAGCACCGGCGGCCAGCGAGUCCCCGCGAGUUAUUCGGAGCACGCGAGACACGCGGGGCGUGGAGGGCAAGUAUGUGGGUUAGGCGCAGCCGCGCUGUGCCCGGUGCCCGAACGUUAAUUGCGUUAAUUGCGUUAAUUGCGGGGGAGAGGCGGGGCGGGGGCGCGGACCCCGCUCGGCGCCGCGGGGGCUGCCGGGAAACGCCCGCUGUUAUUGUCCCGCAACAUGCAAAUGAGGCAGGGCGGGGAGCCAAUGAGGGGCGGCUGCGCGCCGCCGGUGCGCGUGCGCGCCGGGAGGCGGGGAGGAGGCGGGGCCGAGCUGGCGCCCCGCCCAGCGCCGGGGCCCUCACCUCACCUCAGCACGCGCGGCGAAGAUGGCGGCAGCGGCGGGCGGAGGG